rnacentral:rRNA from 1 species
AUGAACGCUGGCGGCGUGCCUAAUACAUGCAAGUCGCGCGAACAGACGAGGAGCUUGCUCCUCUGACGUUAGCGGCGGACGGGUGAGUAACACGUGGAUAACCUACCUAUAAGACCGGGAUAACUUCGGGAAACCGGAGCUAAUACCGGAUAAUAUAUUGAACCGCAUGGUUCAAUAGUGAAAGACGGUUUUGCUGUCACUUAUAGAUGGAUCCGCGCCGCAUUAGCUAGUUGGUAAGGUAACGGCUUACCAAGGCAACGAUGCGUAGCCGACCUGAGAGGGUGAUCGGCCACACUGGAACUGAGACACGGUCCAGACUCCUACGGGAGGCAGCAGUAGGGAAUCUUCCGCAAUGGGCGAAAGCCUGACGGAGCAACGCCGCGUGAGUGAUGAAGGUCUUCGGAUCGUAAAACUCUGUUAUUAGGGAAGAACAAAUGUGUAAGUAACUAUGCACGUCUUGACGGUACCUAAUCAGAAAGCCACGGCUAACUACGUG